rnacentral:rRNA from 1 species
AUACGUAGGGGGCGAGCGUUGUCCGGAAUGAUUGGGCGUAAAGGGCGCGUAGGCGGCCCGGUAAGUCUGGAGUGAAAGUCCUGUUUUUAAGAUGGGAAUUGCUUUGGAUACUGUCGGGCUUGAGUGAAGGAGAGGUAAGUGGAAUUCCCAGUGUAGCGGUGAAAUGCGUAGAGAUUGGGAGGAACACCAGUGGCGAAGGCGACUUACUGGACUGUAACUGACGCUGAGGCGCGAAAGUGUGGGGAGCAAACAGGAUUAGAUACCCUGGUAGUCCACACUGUAAACGAUGAAUGCUAGGUGUAGGGGGUAUCGACCCCUUCUGUGCCGCAGUCAACACAAUAAGCAUUCCGCCUGGGGAGUACGGCCGCAAGGUUGAAACUCAAAUGAAUUGACGGGG